AUUUCUCCAUUUCAAUAGCCACCGUAACUGCCUCUGAGAGGGAUCCACUCCCUGGAUUGGCCUUAAGCGCUGGGUCAUCAUAAAAGAUUGAUUCUACACUCCUCAAUUUAAAACCCCCAGCCUUAUUAUUAAAAACUUCAGCUCCUCUUAUACUUGCUUCAGACCUUCACCGACAAAAUAUCAUUCUCCUUAACCGAUAGAGUAUUCCCAGCAAAAACUGCGUGAUCUUCGCUUGUCUUUCCCACCUUAUUCAACGCCGUAAAUCGAGAGCUUCCAAUAACCUCACAAGAUUUAGCUCCAUUAAUUACUCGUUUAUUCCCUCCGGUGUUAUUCCGACCGUUCUUUUGACCAUGUCGAGCCCUUAUUUCAACCAACAUCCAGGGCCUAAACUCUGACCUCCUUUCCUCAACUGCUUCACCGUCGGUACAAUCUGAAAGUACACUUGUCUUCUCAGGAAGCCUUGUAGGGACCCGAUCCAAAGCCACCGUAGGGCAUAAAUCCUUGACAUGGCCGUACUUGCCGAAACUAAAACAAACGGUCGGAAAAACCUCGUACUCCACCCGUUAAACCACCCCAUCAACCAUAACUUGAGAGGCCAGAGGCUUAUCAAGAUUUAUGAAAAUAGCAAGGCAAACAAAACGUCCUCUAGUUCUAUUAUCUGUCUGAAAAUCCAGUUUCACAACCUGCCCAAUAAGUCCCCCAAUAGCAUCCACAAUUUGUUGACAAAAUAUAAACCCCGAAGACCUGGUAGUCCGAUCCAUGCCAAAACCACACUAGGGUAAGGUUGUAGCUGAAGUCCUUGGUCAAGGGUUGAACGGUGAGAUAUUGUCCAAAUAUGAUCCAGGGCCCCUACGACAAAAUGCGAUCAUAGUCAGAUCUGUUCACAAAUCGAACCAGGUAGUACCCAUUUUCAAUAUCCAUGAGGUAAAAAGGAGAAAUAGGUUUCCACAAGCUAGUUAUGCGAUUGUGUAAGAUAGAAAAAGGUCGCGAUCCAUUUCGAUUGAAAUCGAAGCACCACCCAGAAGCUUAUCUUUCCAUGACGGUGUUGAAGACAGACUAGGUUCCACAACCAUAUCCUCGGCUGCUUCAUCAAGUCCGUCCUUAAAUCUCACUUUCUUGGUAAACCGAUCCUCGACAGAAUGUAAAUCUCCAUCGUCAUCGUUGGCAGAGUGUGAGAGCGUUUUUUCGACAUUUUUUGUUUCUUAUGGUUCCUGUCAAGUUUGCAUUUAUUUUCAAUUUUCAAGAAUGUGACAUUGAAUCUUGGGUCAUUCUAAUUUUUAGACUGUGGCGGAGUGAGAAUAUUAAUUUUAGAGGGUCCAAGUUAAAAUUUGAAGUGUUAUGUAACAAUCAAUUUAGGCAUAUAAAUAAUCAAUUUAAGAAA